UCUUCCUGACUGACUCUGGACUGAAGCUUCAGGUGCUCAUAUGGUUACCUGUCCACCAAGCUGAAGGGGGCCAUCCAGUUUGUGAUUCAGUAUGACAAGAUGUUAACCCAAGCCGGCUCUCCUGCCAGCCUGCACACCUUCAGUCUACUCCAAACAGUCAACUGCUAUGCACUUGGGGAAAACAAACAAAGUUGAUUGUUGUCUUUGGCAAAGCCUAAGAAAGGCAGCAACUAUGUUGCAAAAUAAAGCAUACAGUGUAUCCCAAAGCCAAUGUGAUUAAAAAGAAAAAAGUAACCAUCGUUGACUAUUCUGUUACUAUAAUAAUAAACCCUCCAGCUGGUCAAAUUAUCCACUUACAUAUGGACAUCAGGAUGUUUCCAAUGUUAUUUCUUUUUGAGAACAGACAUUUCACCUCCAGGGUAACAGCGUUUGUUGCAGAACUUGGCAAGGAAAUCUAUACUCUCUUGGGGGAAAAGUCCUGUAUUUAACUUUAACCAGUGAUGGGUGUUUCUAAAAUGAGUUUAACCCCGUGUCCUAGUGUGUUCUGCAGGAUAACUGCUCGUUGGUACCCUGUGCUUUUUCUCUAAAAGCCACCUGGCUGCUGCCACAGCUCCCAGAAGGCUGCCUUUGCUCCUGGCUCGCUUUCCCUUUAAGCAUUUUGAGUGUUUCGGCUGGUGAAGUUCCAAGUGCCCUCUGGACUAAUUGGCACAAUGUGAGAAUUUUCCCAUUUAGAAGAGAAGGAGCCUGUUCUCCCAGGAAGGCUCUUCAAGAUAAUUGCUCACUACCUUUGGCAACCUUCAGAAACAACUACAACAAAAAUCCCUCUUGCUGUUAGGAGGAGCUAGAAACCCACUGAAGGGAAAAUGGGUGUUCAGGACUGGACUGGCCGAGACCUUUGAAACCAGUGACCUUUGGAAACAGGAAGUGGGGGAGGGCCAGUGGCGGCAAAGGCAGCCGAACUUUCCCUCCUGAGAUAAGCACAGCAGCUCCAGCCCUAACGUCUGUAACAGACGUUUUCAUUAUCUUCCUUUUCCUAAAGAGCUUCAGCAAAGGGACAUUGGCCCAGGAAGGCCCUUGCAGGGAGAGAACAGCACUUACUUGGAAGAAAUAUUUUACCAAAACACCUGGCUGGGAGGGGGGCACCCAAGAGUGUGCUGGCUAAGAAAAGAUGGGUGGUUCCCCAGAGCAGGGCUCCCAGAGGAGGUGGUGUGUCCAGGGGCACAGUGAGAAAAAAAAAUGAAGAAGAACAAGACAUGGAGAAGAGAAGAGUCCCUUUUGGGUCACCACCUCCACUUUGGACACUGAGGAAGUGCUGAGUCCUGUGGACUAUUGAUGUUGGGUGGAAAAUAAGAGGGAACAGGACUGGACACUGAAGGUAGCAAAGCCCCCCGGCAGGAUUGUGGCACUCUUGUUCCCCUGCGUGUUCACAUCACCACCCAGAACGACUUCAGGUUUCAGAGCUAAAUAGACCUGGUUCCAAUCCCAGCUCUGCCCCUGCCUGCCUGUGUCGCUGUGGGAGAAUCGCUCAGCCUGUCUGUGAGAGAGGUGAAGGACUCCUGGGCAGUGGGACUGUUGGGAGGUGAAGUGACAUGGAAAGUGGCUGGCCAUGUCCUGUCCAUCUGGCUUCUCCAUGUGACGAUCCGGUGGCUGCCCGAGUCUCCUAGGAACCCCAGGCUCUUCCUACACUUGGCUGAGUUCGUCUGGAUUAAAUGAACACGGUGGGAGUCGCUCCCUCUGUGUUCUCUGGGAAACCACUCGGCCUCCCCUUGGCAUCUUGCUGCGCAGGUUGGCUGAACCCUGACAGGAGCCACGCUUUGCCGGGUCAGCAAUGGGUUGUUUUGAGACCUGCUGGGAAACCUAAAGUAGCCAAGAUGGAGUCAAACUCACUGACUCUGAACCACACGUUUCUCCGUUUCCUCCGGUGUUGGGCUGGUCUCCAUUUUAGCAGCUCCUCCCCAACCUCCCCCUCUUCCCAAAGGCUUUUGUCGCUGAAGGCCACCAUUCGUCCUGUUUACUCCUCCCAGGAUGCCAAGCCCCACCAUAGACCUCCAGGAGGCCCAGUCACCAUCACACUCCCCUCUCAUCCGCAAGACAGACGUGAGCAGCUGUGGCCAGGAGGAGAUGCGACGAAAGUGCAGAUGAGAUUCACGCAAACUCCACUGCCACAGGAGAGUCUAAGGAGGAGGGAGGACAACAGGCUCACUGCUGCAGUGACAAUAGGAUCUCACUCUGUUACCCAGGCUAGAGUGCAGUGGCAUGAUCAUAGCUCCCUGCAGCUUCGAAUUCCCAGGCUCAACAUAUCCUCCUGCCUCAGCCUCGAGAGUGGCUGGGAGUAUGGGCACCUGCCACCACACAUGGCUAAUUUUUACAUUUUUUGUAGAGAUGGGGUCUCACUGUGUUGCCCAGGCUGGUCUAAAACUCCUGGCCUCAAUCAAUUCUCCUGCCUCAGCCUCCCAAAGUGCAGCCACCUCUUAACCAUGAUAUUAUAAGCACAAAAUGGAACCACAUAUAUGAAAUUACCUUAAAAACUCUAAAGUGCUCUAAAAAUAUAGAGCACAUGUUCUAUUGACAGUGAAUAGUGGCAUUAUACUUUUUUAAAUCACUGUAAUUUUUUAGAGCCAUUUUACCCAUUGCCUCUGAAAAAAAUCUCUCCCCUUGGAUGUCUCAGAGGCACCACAAACUCAAUAUUUCUAAAAAUAAAAGUUUAACUAUUUUUUUCCUACCAUGCUCUCCAAUCUGCGUCUUUUCUUUUGACCUACAUUGUAGCAAAUGGCUCUGCUCAGGCGUCCAAGUCACAAACCUGGGGAUCUCCUCGGAUGUCCCCUCCCCUCACCCCUGCAUUCGAUCAAU